CAGCCGCCGCGGUAAUACGAAGGGGGCUAGCGUUGUUCGGAAUUACUGGGCGUAAAGGGCGCGUAGGCGGCCAUUCAAGUUAGAUGUGAAAGCCCUGAGCUCAACCUAGGAAUUGCAUUUGAUACUGUUUGGCUUGAGUUCGGGAGAGGUGAGUGGAAUUCCCAGUGUAGAGGUGAAAUUCGUAGAUAUUCGCAAGAACACCAGUGGCGAAGGCGGCUCACUGGCCCGAUACUGACGCUGAGGUGCGAAAGCGUGGGGAGCAAACAGGAUUAGAUACCCCCGUAGUCCCUGUCUCUUAUAA
rnacentral:rRNA from 1 species